rnacentral:rRNA from 1 species
UACGUAGGGUGCGAGCGUUAAUCGGAAUUACUGGGCGUAAAGCGUGCGCAGGCGGUUUGCUAAGACCGAUGUGAAAUCCCCGGGCUCAACCUGGGAACUGCAUUGGUGACUGGCAGGCUAGAGUAUGGCAGAGGGGGGUAGAAUUCCACGUGUAGCAGUGAAAUGCGUAGAGAUGUGGAGGAAUACCGAUGGCGAAGGCAGGCCCC